AGUGAACGCUGGCGGUAGGCCUAACACAUGCAAGUCGAACGGCAGCACAGUAAGAGCUUGCUCUUACGGGUGGCGAGUGGCGGACGGGUGAGGAAUACAUCGGAAUCUACUUUUUCGUGGGGGAUAACGUAGGGAAACUUACGCUAAUACCGCAUACGACCUACGGGUGAAAGCAGGGGAUCUUCGGACCUUGCGCGAUUGAAUGAGCCGAUGUCGGAUUAGCUAGUUGGCGGGGUAAAGGCCCACCAAGGCGACGAUCCGUAGCUGGUCUGAGAGGAGGAUCGGCCACACUGGACCUGGGAAACGUUCCAGACUCUUAGGGGAGGAAGCAGUGGGAAUAUUGGACAAUGGGCGCAAGCCUGAUCCAGCCAUACCGCGUGGGUGAAGAAGGCCUUCGGGUUGUAAAGCCCUUUUGUUGGGAAAGAAAAGCAGCAGGUUAAUACCCCGCUGUUCUGACGGUACCCAAAGAAUAAGCACCGGCUAACUUCGUG
rnacentral:rRNA from 1 species